UGAUAAAUCUCUACCUAGGCAAAUCAAAAAAAUUAAGACAGAAGGCACAAAUGAAUAAUAAUGUGAUAUAGUCUGGCUCUGUGUCCGUACCCAAAUCUCAUCUCGAAUUGUAAUCAGAAUUGUAAUCCCCAUGCAUUGGGGGAGGGACCUCCAGGGAGGUGGGCAGAUU